rnacentral:rRNA from 1 species
GAUGACGCUAGCGGGAUGCCUUACACUUGCAAGUCGAACGGCAGCACGGACUUCGGUCUGGUGGCGAGUGGCGAACGGGUGAGUAAUGUAUCGGAACGUGCCCAGUAGCGGGGGAUAACUACGCGAAAGCGUAGCUAAUACCGCAUACGCCCUACGGGGGAAAGCAGGGGAUCGCAAGACCUUGCACUAUUGGAGCGGCCGAUAUCGGAUUAGCUAGUUGGUGGGGUAACGGCUCACCAAGGCGACGAUCCGUAGCUGGUUUGAGAGGACGACCAGCCACACUGGGACUGAGACACGGCCCAGACUCCUACGGGAGGCAGCAGUGGGGAAUUUUGGACAAUGGGGGAAACCCUGAUCCAGCCAUCCCGCGUGUGCGAUGAAGGCCUUCGGGUUGUAAAGCACUUUUGGCAGGAAAGAAACGUCGUGGGUUAAUACCCCGCGAAACUGACGGUACCUGCAGAAUAAGCACCGGCUAACUACGUGCCAGCAGCCGCGGUAAUACGUAGGGUGCAAGCGUUAAUCGGAAUUACUGGGCGUAAAGCGUGCGCAGGCGGUUCGGAAAGAAAGAUGUGAAAUCCCAGAGCUUAACUUUGGAACUGCAUUUUUAACUACCGAGCUAGAGUGUGUCAGAGGGAGGUGGAAUUCCGCGUGUAGCAGUGAAAUGCGUAGAUAUGCGGAGGACACCGAUGGCGAAGGCAGCCUCCUGGGAUAACACUGACGCUCAUGCACGAAAGCGUGGGGAGCAACAGGAUUAGAUACCCUGGUAGUCCACGCCCUAAACGAUGUCACUAGCUGUUGGGGCUUCGGGCUUGCUAGCGCAGCUACGCGUGAGUUGACGCUGGGGAGUACGUCGCAGAUUAAACUCAAAGAUUGACGGGACCGCCAGCGGGGAUGAUGGGAUAUCGAUGCACCGAAACUACUACUGCUGUCUGAUCUGAAGAAUUAGAUGCUCCAGAAACGAACAGCUGCUGC